rnacentral:rRNA from 1 species
UACGUAGGGGGCAAGCGUUGUCCGGAAUCAUUGGGCGUAAAGCGCGUGUAGGCGGUUCGGUAAGUCGGCUGUGAAAGUCCAGGGCUCAACCCUGGGAUGCCGGUCGAUACUGCCGGACUAGAGUUCGGAAGAGGCGAGUGGAAUUCCCGGUGUAGCGGUGAAAUGCGUAGAUAUCAGGAGGAACACCGGUGGUGUAGACGGCUCUCUGGACCAUAACUGACGCUGAGACACGAAAGCGUGGGUAGCAAACAGG